GAUGAACGCUGGCGGCGUGCCUAAUACAUGCAAGUCGCGCGGACAGACGAGGAGCUUGCUCCUCUGACGUUAGCGGCGGACGGGUGAGUAACUCGUGGAUAACCUACCUAUACUUCUCCGCUAACUUCGGGAACCCGGAUCUAAUACCGACUAAUUUAUUUCACCUCAUGGUUCAAUAGUUAAACACGGUUUUUCUGUCUCUUAUAGAUGGAUCCGGGCCGCAUUAGCUAGUUGGUAAGGUAACGCCUUACCAAGGCAACGAUGCGUAGCCGACCGGAGAGGGUGGUCGGCCACACUGGAACUGAGACGCGGCACAGACUACUACGGGAGGCAGCAGAAGGGAAUGGUCCGCAAUGGGCGAAAGGCAGACGGAGAAAAGCCACGUGAGUGAUGAAGGGAUGCGGAUCGGAAAACUAUGUUAUUAGGGAAGAACAAAUGAGUAAGUAACGAGGGAGGUCUUGACGGUACCGAAUCAGAAAGCAACGGCUAACUACGUG
rnacentral:rRNA from 1 species